AUCGAACGCUGGCGGCAGGCUUAACACAUGCAAGUCGAGCGAGCGGCGGACUGGUGAGUAAUGUCUUGGAAACUGCCUGAUGUAGGGGUAUAACUACUGGAAACGGUAGCUACUAGUGCUUACCUCCCUUUCUGCUCUGGUGGGUUUAGCUAGUGGGUGGGGUAAUGGCUAACCUAGACGUCGCUCCCUAGCUGGUCUGAGAGGGUGACCGGCCACACUGGAACUGAGACACGGCCCAGACUCCUACGGGAGGCAGCAGUGGGGAAUAUUGCGCAAUGGGCGAAAGCCUGAUGCAGCCAUGCCGCGUGUGUGAAGAAGGCCUUCGGGUUGUAAAGCACUUUCAGCGAGGAGGCGUUACUCGCACAGGAAGCACCGGCUAACUCCGUGCCAGCAGCCGCGGUAAUUC
rnacentral:rRNA from 1 species